rnacentral:rRNA from 1 species
GACGAACCGUGCAAACGUUGUUCGGAAUUACUGGGCGUAAAGGGUUCGUAGGUGGCUUACUAAGUCAAACGUGAAAUCCCUCAGCUUAACUGGGGAACUGCGUCUGAUACUGGAAAGCUUGAGUGCAGGAGAGGAACGCGGAAUUCCAGGUGUAGCGGUGAAAUGCGUAGACAUCUGGAGGAACACCGGUGGCGAAGGCGGCGUUCUGGACUGCAACUGACACUGAGGAACGAAAGCCAGGGGAGCAAACGGG